rnacentral:rRNA from 1 species
AAAAGAGGGAAAGAGCUUGCUCUUUCCGGAAUUGAGUGGCAAACGGGUGAGUAACACGUAAACAACCUGCCUUCAGGAUGGGGACAACAGACGGAAACGACUGCUAAUACCGAAUAAGUUCCAAGGGUUGCAUGGCCCAUGGAAGAAAAGGUGGCCUCUACCUGUAAGCUAUCGCCUGAAGAGGGGUUUGCGUCUGAUUAGCCAGUUGGCGGGGUAACGGCCCACCAAAGCGACGAUGGAUAGGGGUUCUGAGAGGAAGGUCCCCCACAUUGGAACUGAGACACGGUCCAAACUCC